UGAGCCACCCAGGCGCCCCAAGACCCAAUGUUUUGAACAACAGUGUCUGAGUCAGUCGUGCAGCUUGUCACAGGACGUUAGUGUUCCGAGAAAGCAGCAGGUACAUUGGGCGCAAUGUCACUUACGUGUCAGGACUGGAGGACUUUCAGGACUACGUUGGAAUAGGAGUAAUGAGAAUGGGUCUCCGUGUCUCAUUCAUGAUUUUAGAAGACUGGAUUUCCUAUUUUUAACACCAAGAACCAUAAGAUACCUGGGAAUGAACCUAACCAAAGAGAUAAAGGAUCU